rnacentral:rRNA from 1 species
AAUGAACGCUGGCGGCAGGCCUAACACAUGCAAGUAGAACGAGUGGCGGACGGGUGAGGAAUGUCUGGGAAACUGCCCGAAGGAGGGGGAUAACUACUGGAAACGGUAGCUAAUACCGCAUACCAUCGGAUGUGCCCAGAUGGGGUUAGCUGGUAGGUGGGGUAACGGCUCACCUAGGCGACGAUCCCUAGCUGGUUUGAGAGGAUGACCAGACACACCAGAACUGAGACACGCUCCAGACUACUACGGGAGGGAGCAGUGGAGAAGAUUGCACAAGUGGCGCAGGCCUUACGCAACCAUGCCACGUGUAUGGAGGAGGCCCUCGGGUUGUAAAGUACUAUCAGCGAGGUGGCGUUACUCGCAGAAUAAGCACCGGCUAACUCCGUGCCAGCAGCCGCGGUAAUAC